GCCGCGAUGGUGUAGUGGCCUAUCAUGUGUUCGAAAACACUGGGCUAAGCAUAGAGCUCUGUCACAGCUCUGACUCGGGUUCAAAUCCCGAUCGCGGCGCCA
rnacentral:tRNA from 1 species